CUGAAUACCCACUUGAGUGGUGCAGGCGGUUACGGUCGAUUCACAGUUCGAAUAUUCACCACAUCAAUUUUAUCGCGGUAUAUAAUAACUGGCAAAACUCAGGAAUUAAAAUUAUUACACACUUCGGAAUAACGCGAUGACGAUUCGUCGCUCCGACCAAUCUGCAGUUUUCCAGACCGUCCCUACUUUAUAAUAUAAUAAUAAUCCUAUAAAAUCCCUUCGUACGCAUUUGGUCUCGCACCCUUCGUUAGAUUUUGAUUU